rnacentral:rRNA from 2 species
UGGGGGAUAUUGCACAAUGGGGGAAACCCUGAUGCAGCGACGCCGCGUGGAGGAAGAAGGUUUUCGGAUUGUAAACUCCUGUCGUUAGGGACGAUAAUGACGGUACCUAACAAGAAAGCACCGGCUAACUACGUGCCAGCAGCCGCGGUAAAACGUAGGGUGCAAGCGUUGUCCGGAAUUACUGGGUGUAAAGGGAGCGCAGGCGGGAAGACAAGUUGGAAGUGAAAACCAUGGGCUCAACCCAUGAAUUGCUUUCAAAACUGUUUUUCUUGAGUAGUGCAGAGGUAGAUGGAAUUCCCGGUGUAGCGGUGGAAUGCGUAGAUAUCGGGAGGAACACCAGUGGCGAAGGCGGUCUACUGGGCACCAACUGACGCUGAGGCUCGAAAGCAUGGGUAGCAAACAGG